CAGAAACAAAUCCUUAGACAAAUUUCCAGAAUCAAAACCUAGAAAUCUCACAAUGAAAACACAAAUUGAAACCUAAAUUUCAGUAAUCACAACAUAGAAAUCUCGAUCUAUUCUCAAAACCUAGAAAUCUUGAUCAUCAGAACCUUAAAAAAAUUUUAAACCUAGAAUGCAAAAUCAGUUUUGUUACUGAAAUCUGAAAUCAAUUCAUCUUUGAUUAUCAUCAGGUGAAUCUAUUACAGCUGAGAACGAAACAAGGGAAGGAGAGUACUACGUCUGGCACGAGUUUCGUAGAGUAAAAUUGUUGUUCUAAGGACUUGAAAGGUAUCGACGUAUCGUGCACGAAACCUGUUCAUCACAGAGAGGGAAGCAAUUGCAGGUGGUGAAUUGGAUUGUG